rnacentral:rRNA from 1 species
AUGACGAGCACUACCAAUGCCGCGGUAAUUUCCUGCAUUGUUGUAGUUUUCCUUCAGGUGUCGUGCACCGUUUCCCAACACCCCACGGAAGCGAAGUUCGAGCUUCAACAGAACGUCCCCGCCGUGAUGACGGUGAACGGCUUCCAGCAAGGAGAGGGGGGCGGCGGGCCGGCGGCAUGCGACGGCCAGUACCACAGCGACGAUGACUUGGUGGUGUCGCUGUCCUCGGAGUGGUACGCUGGCGGCGCCCGGUGCGGCAGGAUAAUCCGCAUCGCCGACCCUUCCAAUUCCAAUUUUGGCACAAACGCCAUGGUCGUCGACGAGUGCGCCGCCUGCGACAACGAGGUCGGCGCGUCGUCAGGUAUCUGGAAUAACUUCGAUCUUGGCACCAGCCUCGGCCAGGUGGACACCACAUGGUCGGAUGUGGACUUCUGA